CUUAUUUUUGAUUUGUUUAGUGUUUGUUUUUAAAUUAACUACGGAGUGUGGACAAUUAUUUAGUUCUUUUAAUGAGUUUAAGAACAUUUUAAAACAGUACGAAAAAGAUAAGAGACUAUAAAUUAAUAUAUAUUUUUUUUAGUUAUAAAUGAAAUAGUAUGUAUUACCGUAAAAGAUUAAAAUAAAAAGAAGACCUAAAGCUUUCACAAUAAUAAUUAACUUGUUCUGAAGCUAUUAUCCUUGUGGCAUUUUUGUAAUCAACUAUUCUAAAUGGGAACUAAGCCACAAUUUAACCAAAAAAUAAUUUUAUUAACGUUUCGACGUCGUUGUCAAAAUACAAAAUAUUAUUAAAUUAAACAAAAAUGGUGUUGCUUAGUAAAAAAUUUUUCUAAUAAUUUAUUUAAUAUGACUAAUUUUUGUAUUUUGACAAUGACAUCCGAUUUGGACGUCGAAACGUUAAUAAAAUCAUUUUUUUAGUUAAAUUGUGGCUUAUUUCCCAUUUAGAAUAGUUGAUUAUAAUAAUUAACUUACGUAUAAAAAUUAUUUUAACAAUAUUUUGUACGUGUUAUGUCAACUAAAUACAUAUAUUUAUUUUGCUAACCUAAAUAUAUACUUUAAUAUAUACAUUGAUUUAUUACAAUUAAGUUUGAAACAUCUGAAUAGUUCUGCUUCCCUUCUUUUAACAAAUAUUUUUCUAUCAAAUACACGCAAUCCGCUGGGAGCGUUAACUUUGACACAUGGUCACGUGGUACACUGUGGAUGUUUGUGGGACGAUCUUAUGUGUAUUCCUUAUGGGUGAUUUGCAAAAACAAAAGAUUAUUUAAAAUAUUACUAUUAAUUUUGUACAAUUGUAUCAAUACAUCACAAGAAAUUCGCUAUAAAUACUAUAUAUGGUAGAAAAUGUCUGAUAUAAUACAUAAAUAUAAUUUCGAUAUACAAACUUAGGAAGAGAUUUUUAGGUUAACAGCCGAAAUGUGAGGUUACGGCUGUCAAGAAGGACUUCGUAAAUGUAAACAAAAGUUGCAAAGCCAUAAUUUGCCCAAUCUCAAAGCCUUUUUAAUUCCUAUAAAGUUGAAAUGUUGCUUCCUCUGCUUAAGUAUACUGUUUUUAACAUAAUACCACCAUAAUUCGGUCUUAAAUUUGUAUGAAAUAUAGUUUUUUAGUGAUAUUCACCAAGCAAAGUUUACAAACUUUUGUGAACCAUUCUAUUUUGUAUAAUAAAAAUGGUAAUGUGCUUUGCCCCGGAUUGUACACAAUAUUGUGAAAGAGGGAUAUGUAGAUUCUUUGUUGUUCCCAGGAUCUGGUUGAAAAGAAGACAUUGAUUUCAUUACUAAGGCACCCAGGAGAAGGGCAUGGCCCUAACCCUCAAAUAUGAGUAUUAUAGAAAAUUAACAGUUACCCAGGCAACCAUCCAAUGAGAAUCGUAGGAAAAUUAACAGUUCCACAGACAAUCAUCCAGUGACCACAUUGUCUCUUUUUGGACAUACCAUCUGACGCUUUCUGAAGAAGAUCUUGGGGUGUAAAUAACCCAGGACAGCACCGGAAGAAGCCGUCAGACCACAGGCUAAAUUCCUUAUUAAAAUCUAUAGCUUGCCUAUAAACAGAGACAGACUAUUUUUAUAUAAAAUAACUUCAUUAGUUCUAAAAUGUAGAUCUUGAAUUGUGACCAUAAUAAAAUGAGAAAAUAAAGUGUUUAUACUGAA
rnacentral:lncRNA from 1 species